UGUACUCUCACACUUCUGAUCCUUUUGGAUUGGGAGCGGUGGACUUGGGUGUUGCUGCUUUACUGCGGCUCACCUCAAAUGCAUUAGUGCAACUCUUGGUUGGACAUAGUACGGCGUGAUAAGUAUCUUCGCCGGCACCUCGCAAGAGGGUGGCUGAUCAGGAGCUCUGUGCUCUCCAACUGUCUUCGGACAACAACUGACA
rnacentral:misc_RNA from 1 species